CCUUACCACCUUUGACAUGGCAGGAACUUACCAGAGAUGGUUUGGUGCUCGAAAGAGAACCUGCACACAGGUGCUGCAUGGCUGUCGUCAGCUCGUGUCGUGAGAUGUUGGGUUAAGUCCCGCAACGAGCGCAACCCUUGCCAUUAGUUGCUACGAAAGGGCACUCUAAUGGGACUGCCGGUGACAAACCGGAGGAAGGUGGGGAUGACGUCAAGUCCUCAUGGCCCUUAUAGGUGGGGCUACACACGUCAUACAAUGGCUGGUACAAAGGGUCGCCAACCCGCGAGGGGGAGCCAAUCCCAUAAAGCCAGUCGUAGUCCGGAUCGCAGUCUGCAACUCGACUGCGUGAAGUCGGAAUCGCUAGUAAUCGUGGAUCAGAAUGUCACGGUGAAUACGUUCCCGGGUCUUGUACACACCGCCCGUCACACCAUGGGAGCGGGUCUCGCCAGAAGUAGGUAGCCUAACCGCAAGGAGGGCGCUUACCACGGCGGGGUUCGUGACUGGGGUGAAGUCGUAACAAGGUAAGCGUAGAUGA
rnacentral:rRNA from 1 species